CGGCGGACGGGUGAGUAACACGUGGAUAACCUACCUAUAAGACUGGGAUAACUUCGGGAAACCGGAGCUAAUACCGGAUAAUAUAUUGAACCGCAUGGUUCAAUAGUGAAAGACGGUUUUGCUGUCACUUAUAGAUGGAUCCGCGCCGCAUUAGCUAGUUGGUAAGGUAACGGCUUACCAAGGCAACAAUGCGUAGCCGACCUGAGAGGGUGAUCGGCCACACUGGAACUGAGACACGGUCCAG
rnacentral:rRNA from 1 species